rnacentral:rRNA from 1 species
UACGGGGGGGGCAAGCGUUGUUCGGAAUUACUGGGCGUAAAGGGCUCGUAGGUGGCCAACUAAGUCAGACGUGAAAUCCCUCGGCUUAACCGGGGAACUGCAUCUGAUACUGGAUGGCUUGAGUUUGGGAGAGGGAUGCGGAAUUCCAGGUGUAGCGGUGAAAUGCGUAGAUAUCUGGAGGAACACCGGUGGCGAAGGCGGCAUCCUGGACCAACACUGACGCUGAGGCGCGAAAGCUAGGGGAGCAAACAGG